UGACUGAGUGGCGGACGGGUGAGUAACGCGUGGGUAACCUGCCUCAUACAGGGGGAUAACAGUUAGAAAUGACUGCUAAUACCGCAUAAGACCACAGUACCGCAUGGUACAGGGGUAAAAACUCCGGUGGUAUGAGAUGGACCCGCGUCUGAUUAGGUAGUUGGUGGGGUAACGGCCUACCAAGCCGACGAUCAGUAGCCGACCUGAGGGGGUGACCGGCCACAUUGGGACUGAGACACGGCCCAA
rnacentral:rRNA from 1 species